rnacentral:tRNA from 1 species
CCGCCCUUAGCUCAGUCGGAUAGAGCAACGGCCUUCUAAGCCGUGGGUCGGGGGUUCGAUUCCCUCAGGGCGGGCCA